rnacentral:lncRNA from 1 species
GGAGCCAACCGUGGCGCAGGCGGCGCGGGGAGGCGUCCCAGAGGGAUGCUAUACUGGACUUCCCUACUCUCAUCUGCUCCAGCCCCCUGACCUUAUAGUUGCCCAGCUUUCCUGGCAAUUGACUUUGCCCAUCAAUACACAGGAUUUAGCAUCCAGGGAAGAUGUCGGAGCCUCAGAUGUUAAUUUUCUAAUUGAGAAUGUUGGCGCUGUCCGAACCUGGAGACAGGAAAACAAAAAGUCCUUUCUCCUGAUUCACCAAAAAAUAAAAUACUGACUACCAUCACUGUGAUGAGAUUCCUAUAGUCUCAGGAACUGAAGUCUUUAAACAACCAGGGACCCUCUGCCCCUAGAAUAAGAACAUACUAGAAGUCCCUUCUGCUAGGACAACGAGGAUCAUGGGAGACCACCUGGACCUUCUCCUAGGAGUGGUGCUCAUGGCCGGUCCUGUGUUUGGAAUUC